GACGGAGGGUGCAGGCGUUGUUCGGAUUGACUGGGCGUAAAGGGCGUGUAGGCGGUCGGCCAAGUCUGACGUGAAAGCCCGAGGCUCAGCCUCGGAAGUGCGUCGGAAACUAGUCGGCUGGAGCGCGAUAGAGGAGGGUGGAAUUCCUGGUGUAGCGGUGAAAUGCGUAGAUAUCAGGAGGAACACCGGCGGCGAAGGCGGCCCUCUGGAUCGUUGCUGACGCUGAGACGCGAAAGCGUGGGGAGCGAACAGG
rnacentral:rRNA from 1 species